CUCAUUCCUUCCCAGCCCAACAUAUAACAAUCAGCUAGGUCAUAUUUCAGACAGCGCAGUCCGGGUCUUUCCGUCGCUCACAAAUUCGGAGCUUUCAGAAAAAAAAAAUCUCCCAACUCGGAAACCAGUGUUUUCUAUUUUUUUAAUAUUAAAGUCUUCUUUUUUCUUGAAAUAUCUCUUCUUUGAAUCUUUGUUUACGGCCCCAAUGACUCCUUACGACCGAAGAUAUGGCGACCCCCAAUCUUACCGUCAGCGUAGAAGUGAUUUUAUGGGCCAACCGCCUCCGGUAGGUCCACCUACUAUGGGUCCAGGAAUGGUCAUGCCGUCCUCUUACCCCCGUGGCGGACAAAUUCCUUACGGUGGCCCUCCAACAGCGCACCCUCCGUCUUUUCAUGGAAGAGUGCACGGGCCCGUCCGAGGUCAAGGGGAUUUCGAUUCGUACUCGAGCUUCCGGCCUCCCGCGGGAAGAUUCGAGAUGGGCCGCGGUGGGGACAUAGGUCAUUCUCAUGCAGACAGGAGAAGUGAUGGGAUAAGAGUUCGUGAAGCCGGCCGUGGUGGAGGCGGUAGAGGCGGUGGUGGCCGUGGCGGCGGCGGAAGAGGUUAUGGAGGGAGGCACGGAGGGUCCUCUAGAGGGGAUUUAGACAAUGUUUCGCUUCCAAGGCAAAAUUUUGGCAAGUUGGUUCCUUUUGAGAAGAACUUUUAUAUCGAAAGUCCUGCAGUUAGAGAAAUGACAGAGCAAGAAGUAAUGUUUUAUCGUAGAACACGGGACAUUACAGUUCAAGGACAUAAUGUUCCAAAACCGAUAAGGAUGUUCCGUGAUGCCAAUUUUCCUGAUUACUGUCUUGAGGUGAUUGCCAAUUUGGGUUUUGUUGAGCCAACUCCAAUUCAAGCUCAGGGCUGGCCUAUGGCUUUAAAGGGUAAAGAUCUCAUUGGGAUUGCUGAGACUGGUUCUGGAAAAACACUGGCAUACUUACUGCCGGCAUUGGUGCAUGUUAAAGCACAGCCACCAUUGGUGCAUGGUGAGGGUCCUAUUGUAUUAAUAUUAGCACCUACGAGGGAGUUGGCUGUUCAAAUUCAAGAAGAAGCUGCAAAGUUUGCGAAUAAUGCUAGCAUAAGGAGUACUUGCAUCUAUGGCGGUGCUCCUAAGGGACCACAAACUAGGGAUCUUAAAAGAGGUGUUGAGAUUGUAAUUGCCACACCUGGUCGACUGAUAGAUAUGCUAGAAGCUCAAAACACAAACUUGAAACGAGUGACUUACCUUGUUCUGGAUGAAGCUGAUAGAAUGUUGGACAUGGGGUUUGAGCCUCAAAUAAGAAAGAUUGUUUCUCAGAUUCGACCUGAUAGACAAACAUUGUAUUGGAGUGCAACGUGGCCUAAAGAAGUUGAAUCUUUAGCAAGGCAGUUUUUAAGCAACCCAUAUAAGGUUAUCAUUGGAUCACCUGAUCUGAAAGCAAACCAAUCUAUUAACCAAGUUGUUGAAGUCAUAACAGAUUUAGAAAAGUACAACAGGCUAAUCAAAUUGCUGAAGGAUCUGAUGGAUGGGAACCGAAUACUAAUAUUCAUGGAGACAAAGAAGGGAUGCGACCAAGUUACUAGGCAUCUCAGAAUGGAUGGAUGGCCUGCCCUGUCCAUCCAUGGUGAUAAAAACCAGGCUGAAAGAGAUUGGGUCCUAGCUGAAUUUAAAAGUGGCAGAAGUCCUAUAAUGACUGCCACUGAUGUGGCUGCACGGGGUCUUGGUAGGAUCACUGUGUUUUAGGAGUCUUAGCAUAUUCAUGUAGGUCUUGAAAUGGUGAAGAUAAGUGAGUCUGCCGGCUGCUUUCCAGUUUCCUGAGACAAUAAUUUGUGGCUUGGGUGCGAGUUGCCAUGAUGUACAUUUAUAUUUUUGACUGAUAGGCAUGAUCCUCCACUUUAGGGGAGUUACUGGACACAAGGAGCAUAGUUUGCUUAAACAGCUGAGGUGGUGAUCUAUAAUUUGGAUGGUUAUGCAAUACAAAGCUCAGGCAACUCCGUUCCUUUGUUUGAGAAGUUUUAUAUCCCGAUUUUAGGUUGAGGGAAAAGAAAAAUUAGAAAGCUCUGUUAUGUCUAGUUGUAUGUAUUUGCUUGAAUUGUCUGAAUUGGCACGACUCCUUAUAAUCAAGUGUAAGUAAUAUGGUUGAAGUUGUAGUGUUGCCCAUCCACGGUUAUGGAGCUGGUUUUUGUGGCAGCCUGGUUGACUCAGAUUUGCUUAUGUUCCUUGAUUGGGUACAGAAAUGGUGGUGGUAGACCUUAUCCCUGCAAAGUUAAGAUGUAAAGGACAUAAAGUGUGUGAUCAACUAUGAUUUUCCUUCGAGUCUGGAGGAUUAUGUACAUAGGAUUGGUAGAACUGGUCGAGCAGGGGCUAAGGGAACUGCUUUUACCUUCUUCACACAGGCAAAUGCAAAGUAUGCUAGGGACC